UACGUAGGGUGCGAGCGUUGUCCGGAAUUAUUGGGCGUAAAGAGCUUGUAGGCGGUCUGUCGCGUCUGCUGAUGGAAAAUCCGGGGCUCAACCCCGGACUUGCGAGUGGGUACGGGCAGACUAGAGGUGUGGUAGGGGAGACUGGAAUUCCUGGUGAUAGCGGUGAAAUGCGCAGAUAGUCUGGAGGAACACCGGUGGCGAAGCGGCAUCCUGGACCAAUACUGAACGGCUGAGGAGCGAAAGCCAGGGGAGCAAACGGG
rnacentral:rRNA from 1 species